rnacentral:lncRNA from 1 species
GGAGAAGAAGCUGGGUAGAAGGCUGAGCAGAGCUCCUAGCCUCUGGGUGGCCAGUGGUCAGGGCUAGGACCUGAAUACAGGCGUUGUUCACCCUGUAUUCCUCCCCCACCUUAUAACAUGACAGGAGCAUGGAGCCACUUGGCUGCAAAAUAGUGUUAGAUUAAGUUUAGCCUAAAGCUGCCUUCUUACAUAUUUUACGUUUGGCCUAAAGGUUUCUCUGUACACAGUGAACUGAACCCAACUGGAUGUGCAAACAGACUGUAACCUGCUCUUGUGCCAGUCACUAAGUUUCUGCCAAUCACAGGCAGCCAACUGUUCAAACAGGUUCAAAUAAGGCAAAUGCUGAGCUGUAACCAAUCUGGCUGUUUUUUCUGUAUUUCAGUUUCCUUUUUCUGUCCAUAGAUCUUCUUCCACCAUGUGGCACCCCCAGAACCUCUCUGAACUAUUCUCAUCUGGGGAUUGCCCAAUUUGUGAAUUGUUCUUUGCUCAAUUAAAUGAUGUUAAAUUUAAUUUGCCUAAGGUUUUUAUUUUAACAAUAGUGGUAGGGGACUCGGGGGGGAGGUAAUCCACUGGUCUUGUAACAUUUUUCAGUGUUAGUUCAUCCCCACUGAGAAAUAUGUUUUGUCCAAUAGGUUCUUCAGAGAGAAAGGGGUCCCCAGGAGUUAAAUAUGAAUGUAGUUUGCAGCUUCUUAGCAGGUUCCAGGAAAAAAAUAACACCCAGCUAUUCAAGGGAAAACUUGGAUCUUGCCCCUCACCAAGGUGGCCAAUUCCCUGGGGAUUUCUGACAUCAGAAGCUGCUUCCUGGGGGGACUCCAGCCUGGAGAGGGAGGUGCCUCUUACUAUGGAUGCAACAUGACAUCUAUGCUAAUGCUGUGUCAUUUGUUUCUUGGUUUUAUUUUUCUCCAGUAAUAAAGCAUGAAUCUGAGCUAUAUAAAGAGAAGGGGGAGCUGCAGAUUCCCAGCAGCUAU